CCUACGGGGGGCAGCAGUGGGGAAUAUUGCGCAAUGGGCGCAAGCCUGACGCAGCGACGCCGCGUGAGGGAUGAAGGUCCUCGGAUCGUAAACCUCUGUCAGCAGGGAAGAACGGUCACUGUGCUAAUCAGCAGUGAAUUGACGGUACCUGCAAAGGAAGCACCGGCUAACUCCGUGCCAGCAGCCGCGGUAAUACGGAGGGUGCGAGCGUUAAUCGGAAUUACUGGGCGUAAAGCGCGCGUAGGCGGUAUGUCAAGUCAAGGGUGAAAUCCCCGCGCUCAACGUGGGAACUGCCUUUGAAACUGGCAAACUGGAGUGUGUGAGAGGAUAGUGGAAUUCCAGGUGUAGGAGUGAAAUGCGUAGAUAUAUGGAGGAACAUCAGUGGCGAAGGCGACUAUCUGGCACAUAACUGACGCUGAGGAGCGAAAGCGUGGGUAGCAAACAGGAUUAGAUACCCGGGUAGUC
rnacentral:rRNA from 1 species